rnacentral:tRNA from 1 species
GAGGGUAUAGCUCAGUGGUAGAGUGCAUGCUUAGCAUGCACAAAGUCCUGCGUUCAAUCCCCAGUACCUCCA